CUAACACAUGCAAGUCGAACGGUAAAUACUAUAGCAAUAUGGUAUGAGAGGACGCACGGGUGCGUAACACGUAUGCAACCUACCCAAGACAGGAGGAUACUCAGGGAAACUUGGAUUAACCCUCCAUAAGAUCGUAGAGUGGCAUCACUAGCGAUAAAAACAUUAGUGGUUUUGGAUGGGCAUGCGCAUGAGGGGUUGUUGGUAGUGUAACGGACUACCAAGACGAUGAUCAUUAGGGGACCUGAGGGGUGAUCCCCCACACUGGCACUGAGAUACGGGCCAGACUCCUACGGGAGCAGCAGUAGGGAAUAUUGGUCAAUGGAUGCAAGUCUGAACCAGCCAUGCGCGUGCAGGAAGACGGCCUUCUGGGUUGUAAACUGCUUUUGCCAGGGGUCAAAUU
rnacentral:rRNA from 1 species